rnacentral:rRNA from 1 species
GACGAACGCUGGCGGCGUGCUUAACACAUGCAAGUCGAACGGAAAGGCCCUGCUUUUGUGGGGUGCUCGAGUGGCGAACGGGUGAGUAACACUUGAGUAACCUGCCCUUGACUUUGGGAUAACUUCAGGAAACUGGGGCUAAUACCGGAUAGGUGCUCCUGCUGCAUGGUGGGGGUUGGAAAGUUUCGGCGGGUGGGGAUGGACUCGGGGCUUAUCAGCUUGUUGGGGGGGUAGUGGCUUACCAAAGCUUUGACGGGUAGCCGGCCUGGGAGGGUGACCGGACAAAUUGGGACGGGGAUAAGGCCCAGACUAGAAUGGGAGGCAGCGGAGGGGAAGAUAGCACAAUGGGCGGAAGGCUGAUGCAGCAAAGCCGCGUGGGGGAUGACGGGCUUGGGGUUGUAAACCGAUUUCGCCUGUGACGAAGAGUGAGUGACGGUAAUGGGUAAAGAAGCACCGGCUAACUACGUG